GUGUCAGCCGCCGCGGUAAUACGGAGGGUGCAAGCGUUAUCCGGAAUCAUUGGGUUUAAAGGGUCCGCAGGCGGAUUUAUAAUUCAGUGGUGAAAGCCUACAGCUUAACUGUAGAACUGCCAUUGAUACUGUAAGUCUUGAAUUCGGUCGAAGUGGGCGGAAUGUGUAGUGUAGCGGUGAAAUACAUAGAUAUUACACAGAACACCGAUAGCGAAGGCAGCUCACUAGGCCUGGAUUGACGCUCAGGGACGAAAGCGUGGGGAUCAAACAGGAUUAGAAACCCCUGUAGUCC
rnacentral:rRNA from 1 species